rnacentral:rRNA from 1 species
CGGGGGGGGCUAGCGUUGUUCGGAAUUACUGGGCGUAAAGGGCGCGUAGGCGGUCUGCUAAGUUGGAUGUGAAAACUCUGGGCUUAACCCAGAGCCUGCAUUCAAAACUGACAGGCUGGAGUUCUGGAGGGGAUAGCGGAAUUCCUGGUGUAGCGGUGAAAUGCGUAGAUAUCAGGAGGAACACCGGUGGCGAAGGCGGCUAUCUGGACAGAAACUGACGCUGAGGCGCGAAAGCUAGGGGAGCAAACAGGAUUAGAUACCCUGGUAGUCCUAGCCCUAAACGAUGGAUACUUGGUGUGACCGGGAUUGAAUCCGGUCGUGCCGAAGCUAACGCAUUAAGUAUCCCGCCUGGGGAGUACGGUCGCAAGGCUG